GGAAACCCUGGAAGGGAACCCAGCCCCAAAGCCCCAUUGUUCCCGGGAGUUCCUUUCUCCGCCCAGAUUCAGGCACCCCAAAAGAGGGAGGCCCUAUACGCGAGUGCAGAACUUGAACUCUAGAAAUCUCUGCAGCCGCGUGAAGCGCCUAGGAGGUCCGUCCGCACCCCCGUCUUCCAAACCAACCGACUCGAAGGAAAGAUGCAGGACCGUGGCGAAGGAGAGACAUCAGCCCAGGGCAAUUCAUUAUCCAGUCUCAUACUUUCAUCGGGCCAGCUGUCUGAAGAUGGCACUGUGAUGUUCCUAUAUAUUAGUGUAUAUAUGGUCUGUCAAAAAAUAGCCAUGGCAGAGGCAAAAGACAAGGCAGUCCGAGAAACGAACCCCAUGCUGCAGAUGUGAAAUACCAGCUUUCUACCCACUUAGCCACAGUGACAGUGAGGAAUCAGACAGGAAUCCUGGGGCAGUGGUCUUCUUCCAGCCUCCAGUCACAGCUGGGAAGCAGGGGUCAUAAUCCUGUUAGGCUUACACUGAUAAGCAAGAUACGACAGCAUCCAAGAUCAUGACAAUAAUGAAUGUUAAAGAGGAAAGCACAAAAGCAGGACAACAGCUGAACGUCAAGAAGACUAAAAUAAUUACAACAAAAGAUUUAUGUAACUUUAAAGUUGACAAUGAGGACUUUGAACUUGUCAAGGAUUAUCAAUACCUCGGCACAGCCAUUAACCAAAAUGGAGACAAUAGUCAAGAAAUGAGAAGAAGGCUAGGACUGGGGAGGGCAGCUAUGAGAGAACUAGAAAAGGUCCUCAAAUGCAAAGAUGUAUCACUGAACACUAAAGUGAGGAUCAUUCAGACCAUGAUAUUCCCGAUCUCUAUGUAUGGAUGUGAAAGUUGGACAGUGAAAAAAGUGGAUAAGAGAAAAAUCAACUCAUUUGAAAUGUGGUGUUGGAGGAGACCUUUGUGCAUACCAUGGACUGUGAAAAAGACCAAUAAUUCGGUGUCAGAACAAAUUAAACCAGAACUGUCACUAGAAGCUAAAAUGAUGAAACUGAGGUUAUCAUACUUUGGACACAUAUGAGAAUGUUGGAAGUGGGGCAAGAGCAACUCCUAUUUUGUUCUUUUAUUUGUGUUCCAGAAGGGAGAUAGAGCUAGGGUCCUCCAAAUGGAUAGGCUUGUUUACCUUUACCUGUGAUGCUCUGACUGACUUCCUUCUGUCACUAGACUGCUAAGUCCUUAGGGAAACUUACCUGCCCCUCCUCCUUCUGCCCUUUCCACUUCCUCCCUUCUCUGUCUCUGCUCUCUCUCCUAGCAUGGGGCUAACUCCCGCACCUGGGUGUUACGCCUCCAACUUAGCUAGUUAGUUAGAACUAGGUAUGCCUUUCUAUCUACUAUGUAUUUCUAUAAAUAAACUAGCUUUUCUUAUUUUA